CAGCAUAUAUACUAAUAUACUAAAACUGAAAUGAGACAGAAAAGAUUCCUAUAACCCCUGUGAAAGAACGACAAACAAAUUCUUAAAGUGUGUUUCAUAUUUUU